ACUCCUACGGGAGGCAGCAGUAGGGAAUAUUGGGCAAUGGAGGCAACUCUGACCCAGCCAUGCCGCGUGCAGGAUGAAGGCCUUCUGGGUUGUAAACUGCUUUUUUACGGGAAGAAAAAGACCAUGCGUGGUAAACUGACGGUACCGUAAGAAUAAGCACCGGCUAACUCCGUGCCAGCAGCCGCGGUAAUACGGAGGGUGCAAGCGUUGUCCGGAUUUAUUGGGUUUAAAGGGUGCGUAGGCGGCUUAAUAAGUCCGUGGUGAAAUCCAACAGCUCAACUGUUGAACUGCCAUGGAUACUGUUAGGCUUGAGUACAGACGAGGUAGGCGGAAUGGAUAGUGUAGCGGUGAAAUGCAUA
rnacentral:rRNA from 1 species